rnacentral:misc_RNA from 1 species
GAUGAAGAACGUAGCGAAAUGCGAUAAGUAAUGCGAAUUGCAGAAUUCAGUGAAUCAUCGAAUCUUUGAACGCACAUUGCGCCCGCCAGUAUUCUGGCGGGCAUGCCUGUCUGAGCGUCAGUUCAACCCUCAAGCCCCCGGGCUUGGUGUUGGGGAUCGGCGAGCCUCCGCGCCCGCCGUCCCCUAAAUCUAGUGGCGGUCUCGCUGUAGCUUCCUCUGCGUAGUAGCACACCUCGCACUGGGAAACAGCGCGGCCACGCCGUUAAACCCCCAACUUCUGAACGUUUGACCUCGGAUCAGGUAGGAAUACCCGCUGAACUUAAGCAUAUCAAUAAGCGGAGGA